UCGAGAAUCAUUCGCAAUGGGCGAAAGCCUGACGGUGCGAAGCCGCGUGGAGGAUGAAGGCCCUCGGGUCGUAAACUCCUGUCAUCCGUGAGUAAGGUUAAGUGGAGUAACUGCCAUUUGAUUUGAUAGUAACUGAAGAGGAAGGGACGGCUAACUUCGUGCCAGCAGCCGCGGUAAUACGAAGGUCCCAAGCGUUGAUCGGAAUUACAGGGCGUAAAGCGUACGUAGGCGGUAGGGUAAGUCAGAUGUGAAAGCCCGGGGCUCAACCUCGGAACUGCAUCCGAUACUGCCUUACUAGAGUAGUGGAGGGGAGACUGGAAUUCACGGUGUAGCAGUGAAAUGCGUAGAGAUCGUGAGGAACACUAGUGGCGAAGGCGAGUCUCUGGACACUUACUGACGCUGAGGUACGAAGGCUAGGGUAGCGAAAGGGAUUAGAUACCCCGGUAGUCC
rnacentral:rRNA from 1 species